CCUUCUGUGCGUUACGCACAUUGCUCCGACUACAAAUGCAAGUAUACGCUACUUACUCUUGGAGUACCGGUUAUUAAAGCUGCUAUUUUUGGGUAGAUUGAAGUUUUUAUGGUAGAUUUAAGAUAUCAGUGUAGAACACCAAGAUAAAUUCCGUAUCCAAUCUUAUGAUAAUGGUCGUAACUGCACGAAUCUCAUUAUACAUAUAUCAGUUUCAGUUGUCAACUCUUUCAAUCAAUAUCAUGUUAAGUCUCGUUCUCCUCCUAGCUCCCUCAAGUCUUGCCAUAAAAUCAAAAGGUUGCAUGGUGAAUUGCCCAAUAUCAUACGACGGAAUGACAUGUGCCUUUGAUUUAGCUUGCGGAUUUGAGGCAGAAAAUGAAUGUCAGCUAAAAGUGGAGAUAUGUUUGCGUGAAUUAAACAAUAGACCCCGUAAGUUUUUU